AGGGUCCAAUAGGAAGGGCGAUGCUUGUCUCUUCCCUGGCUAAUCUAUGAGAGGUGGGACAAUGCUUGUUCCCUUCUUCUCACACCAUAGUUGAUCGGACGAUGCUUCUUCCUCACGUUCUGGCCUUGAGUUGCCCUGUCGCUGCCAAUCAAUGAAAUGUUCGAAUUUGUCACAAAUCGUUGAAACGAACCGAAUUUAUCACGCACGAUGUGGGACGACCGUUUUGAAAAUUCUUCCACGAUGCUUACACGAUGAUCGUUUUUGAUACUCACACGACGACAGCUUUGAAGAUUUUUUUCACGACUCUUCGUUGACAAAUCUUUCCGGAUUUGAUACACACGAUCUUUGUUGACAAAUCUUUUCGGAUCUGAUACACAAGAUUUCGUUGACAAAUCCUACCGGAUUUGAUACACACGAUCUUCGUUGACAACUCCUACCGACUGCUCCAGUUAAAAUCACUUCCUUGGAAAGGGAUUUUUUAAAACAAUUUUUAUUUCGAUUGAUAUGGAUUUCAGCUUCAAGAUACAACUGUUCGGUAUUACAUGCUUGUAAGAAUAUAUACUGAAUUAAUGCUGAUGAGUUUACAUGCUAUCUGUGAAACUAAAGAACAUUAUGUACCUCGUAAGCAUAAUUCGAUAUUUCCUUAUGCUUAGCUGCGAAAUAGAAUAUCAUGAAUUUGUGAAGUUGGCUCAAUAGGAUAUCAUAACUAUAGUUGAAAUAAACAAGACCAUAAAAUUCAAUCAAAUGAGCAUUGUCAAGGUGAAAGCUACUAAGCCUUCGGAAGAAACACGAGGAUAAGAUUAAAAUACUCCUAAAGAAUAUCAUCGAGAAUUGCAUUUCAGGAGAGGCAGGAAAAAAAACUAGGCAAUUGAAAAAAAUACACAGCAAGCUGUGGCAAUACACCAGAAAAUUACAAGGAAAAUGAAUGCGAAAGAACAUGGUUCAACAGCAAAUGUGAGGAACUCGAGAAGAAUCACGAGACCUUCGACUUGAAUAGCACAAUGAAUAACGCAGCAGGGUGACGAAAACAACAGCACCAUGCAAUAAUCAUAGAAGAUUAAGUUACGUAAAUUUUCAACUUAUUUCGAUGAGUCUACCAAAGGCUUAACAAGAGAUCCAAGCUUUGUACAACAAGCAAUCAAACUUUUUUUAAAUGUUUUUUCUGAGGAUUUUUUAAUAUCUUUUGGUAAGGCAUUAACCAGUUUUGGACCAGCGUAACUUAUGAUAUUUCUAACUUAGUUUUUGUAUAUUUUAGGAAAUGACUCCCAUGACUUCCCUCCCUGGAUCCGUUCUUGGAUGGAGACUUUCUUGAGGAUAAACCAGUCAAAGUUGAUAAAACACAUAUUGAAGACAAAAAGUCAGAAAAACUGACAAUGAGGCAGAAAUAGACUUACUUCGGACCCCAAAAUAUGUAAAAAAUCACAGAAAAGAACGAAAGUUAGAUAGGUACAAAGUAAAUAGCAAAAGCUGGAGAAAAUGGACGACAUUCCAUAAAUAUUUCAGUGCGGAACACACCAUUCCUAUAUUAUUAUUUCAAUUGUGUUUUGCGCAUCAUUUAUAAAAAUAAUUUAAACAUGAUUGAUUUAUUAUCGCCUAUGUACUUACUUAAAAAUAUUUUCAUUGCAACACGAUAGAUCUCUUGAGUACUAUGGAUGACUUUCAUAAUUUAUAAUAAGAUAACUUAGUAUUACUGAAAUAAUUGGGCGAAUAUUGACAUUUAUCUUUUAUGCUCCAUUAACUUAAAAUUAACAUUGCUAUUUUGUUAUCGAAUUUUUUAAAAAAUUGCAAUAUAUUUAGCAAAUCUUUCACAGUUUUAUAUUGAAUUUUACAAGUGUCACAAUAUUUCCGUAAAAAUUAAGAAUAGCACUCACUGCUAAGACUAUAAAUUGUCGCUAAGUGAUGAUUGUAUUGGUUCCCAAUUUCUCAACAGACAAACUGAAAUUCAGAACAAAUUAAUUUAUUAGUCAAACAAACUGAAUACUGCAAUAACAUAAUGGUGGUACAACAUGCAACUCAGGAGAGGUGGAGAUAUCAAAGAAAAAUACAUUGAACCACUCUGUUAUAACACUUCAAGAGACAGUUGUAUUUCAAUGAUACAAUAUUAUUUUUUAUAAACUGCUUGCUGGGUAUUUCGCCUCAAAAAUUUUUGUCUUUAAAAAAGAUAGCAUUUCCUCACGUCUUUUAUUGAGUAGUAGAAGGAUAACGUCUUUAUAAAAUGAAUCCACCUCAGCAAUAUAGAACUUAGAUACAAUAUUAGGUAUUAUAUAUUUUUUUUGCUGUUUGCAGGGAUUGUAAGCAAUCCUUGCCUGUUAUUUUUUCCUCUUAUUGCUAUUUUAUUUGAAAUUCCAUUCUAUUCAAACAUCCUAUUUGAACAAACAAACUACUUACUCAUAUUUGUAAUGUGUACGAACAAUUGUAUUUAAUUUAAUAAAUAGUAAAGUAGA
rnacentral:lncRNA from 1 species